rnacentral:rRNA from 1 species
UACGGAGGGAGCUAGCGUUGUUCGGAAUUACUGGGCGUAAAGCGCACGUAGGCGGCUUUGUAAGUUAGAGGUGAAAGCCCGGGGCUCAACCCCGGAAUUGCCUUUAAGACUGCAUCGCUUGAAUCCGGGAGAGGUGAGUGGAAUUCCCGGUGUAGAGGUGAAAUUCGUAGAUAUCGGGAGGAACACCAGUGGCGAAGGCGGCGCACUGGACCAUAACUGACGCUGAGGCGCGAAAGCUAGGGGAGCAAACAGG